GUAAAAAUUGCUUUAGCUGGAAGGGACAGCAGAGGGAGGUUUAUUAAAUUGCCAUCGGUUUCCUGAGAAGAGCAAGACUUGUGUUUAUUUACUAUUCAACUGAAUACAUUACAUUACUUCUCCCAAAGUGCAUACGAUUGCAGCAGAAUGACACAGUGGGAAAGCUUGCAGCGGCUGGAUACAGUGUAUCUGCAAAAGGUUUUCGAUUUGUACAAUGGAGAUGAAUUCUCUAUGGAUGUGAGACAUUACCUGGCUCAUUGGAUCGAGGGCCAGGACUGGGAGCGUGCCUCUCGGGACUCUUCCCAAGCAGUGCUUCUGUUUCAGGUGUUGUUGGAGAAUCUGGACAACCAGUUCAGUCGUUUUGCACAAGAGAAAGAAUCUUUCCUACUGCAGCGUAAUUUCCGACGUUACAAACAAAACUUUCAGAAGUAUCAAGAGGAGCCCUAUUCUCUAGCUGCUAUUAUCCACUGGUUCUUAGUAAAGGAGAAAGAAAUCCUGAAUGAAGCAGAGCUUGCUCAACAAGUGAAAAUGUUGCAGGUUCAACCAGCUGCAGUGGAGUUGGAAAGCCAGAGACACUUAGAAAAUAUUUUAAAAGCUCUGAAGACCAAAGUAGAGGUGAUGGAACACAACAUAAGGUGUUUGGAGGAGCACCAAGAUGAGUUUGACUUCAAAUAUCAGACACACCGAAUGGAGAGUGGAGCUUGCACAGAAGAAGAGGAAAAGAAGCAGACUGUAGGGCUUCAGAAGAUGCUUAACGCACUUGAUAAGUCUAGAAAGACCUUCCUAUCUGACAUGUCGAUUGUGUUGGACUCUGCUGAUUCUUUGCGCUCCGUACUUGUUGAUGAGGAACUGGUGGACUGGAAGCGGAGACAACAGAAGUCCUGCAUUGGCGCUCCAGAUGACACAAAUUUGGAACAAUUAGAGAAAUGGUUUACUCAGAUGGUGGACUCUGUUUUCCAGCUGCGGAAGUUUUUACAAAAGCUUGAUGAGCUGGUGGGGAAGAUGAGCUACAACAAUGACCCCAUUCCAGUGCAAAAGCCCAUCUUAAAUAACAGAGUGGACACUCUACUGACCCACCUGCUGAAGAGUGCAUUCAUUGUGGAGACUCAGCCAACAAUGCCACAAGGUCGAGGCUCACUGGUGCUGCGCACAAAUGUCCAGUUCUCAGUCAGAGUCAGAUUCUUGUAUAAAGUUCCUGAGCUCAACCAUGUUAUGAAGGUGACUGUCUCCACUGACAAGGGUGCUCCACAAGUAAAAGGGGUUCGUAAGUUCAACGUGCUGGGCACUUCGAGCAAAGCCCUUAACAUGGCUGAGAGUACGAAUGGGGGUAUGGUGGCUGAUUUCAGACAUUUGACUUUGAAAGAUCAGAAGGUUGGUGGUGGAGGAAAAGGAAUCAAUGAGCUUUCAUUGAGUGUGACUGAAGAACUACACAAAGUAAACUUUGAGACACAGUUUGACUAUCAAGGCCUGUCGGUCUCUUUGGAGACCUCUUCUCUUCCCGUUGUGGUGAUUUCAAAUUCUAGUCAGCAGCAGAGUGCCUGGGCAUCUGUUCUUUGGUUCAACAUGCUCUGUUCAGAUCUCAAGAACAUAACAUUUUUUGAGAGCUCCCCUGUAGCCUCCUGGUCACAGUUUGGGGAGAUGUUGAGUUGGCAGUUUCUCUCCUGUGGAAAACGGGGUCUGGACAACUAUCAGUUGGAGACCCUCGCCAUCAAACUUUUUGGCAAACAACAGAGUUAUGACAACUGUAAAAUAUCCUGGGGCAGAUUCAGUAAGGAGAAUAUCCCUGGUACAACCUUCACCCUGUGGGUGUGGCUGGAUGGUAUUCUCAACCUUGUUAAAAUGUACCUCUCAGACCUGUGGAGUGAUGGAUCUAUAAUGGGUUUUGUGAGCAAAGGAACAGAGAAGGUUUUAUUGAAGAAGAAGCAGAACGGCACUUUCCUGUUGCGUUUCAGUGAGAGUAUCAGAGAUGGUGGAAUCACGUUCAGCUGGGUGCAGUAUACUAACCAGGGCAAACCGGAUGUUCGAGCAGUGCAGCCAUUUACCAGUGCAGACCUGAAGCAGAUUGCUUUACCUGAGAUUGUCCGCAACUUUCAGAUCAUGGAAGCAGAAAAUGUUCCUAUUAACCCACUGUGUUAUCUUUACCCAAACACCCCUAAAGACGAGGCAUUCGGCAAGUACUACAGCGAAAAGACUGGAGAGGAGAAUCCUUACUUGAAAUACCUCAAAACCAAAUUGGUUUUUGUCUCGCAUAAAGAGAACGGAUGUACAAGCGUCAGAGAGGGGCCAGAUUCUGACCUGUGCACUCAGCACAGAGAAAAUAGUCAUAUGGGUUUGGAACAACAUAAAGACCCUCCCUUUUCUGAGAUGGCCAAUGAGGUCAUGCUCCAAGGGCCUGAGAAUUCACCCAUGCUUCCAAGCUCUACCAUUUAUGAUGACCUGCUUAACAGCAUUUUAGAGGAUCAAUUCAGUGAUCCACAAGUAUUCCCAGAGACCGUUCCCAACAUUUCAUCACCAUGCUUCGAAGAACCUCUUCCCAUGACUAGCGUAGAUGUCCUCUUUCAAGAAGCAUUCUCUCCUCCUGACACUGAUGGCAAUAUCACAUUGCAAGAGUUCCUAAACGAUCCGAACAUCCUGAAUGGAAUUAACCCUUCUUUCAUGCAGGAGGAGCCAGAGGACACAAUCCCUGAUCAUGGUCUUCAAGAUUUUGGUUUCCCUUUUAACAAGCCACUGACACCCUGAAUGUGACCCAUUUACCUUAAACCCAUGACCUAAUUGACAACUCAGUUUCACAUAAACAUUUUAACAUCUUAACCUUUUCUUCUUGCAGAUUUAAUAGUGUCAAGUUGCAUCAUUUCAAGCCGUUUUACAUAGAUCUGGUUCUGUAUCAGUGAUGCAACAUGCUUAUCACAGCUCAUAGCUUAAUUUACAAUAUUAAUUUCAUUUAUUUAGACUUCCAUAUAUAUCAGUCUGUUCUUACAAGUAUUUGUUACUGGUAUAUAUUCUCUGUUUUAACAGAAGCAAGCCUUUGACCCAUCCAAGUAAUAAACAAUGACGGCACUCUGGGAUGAGGUCAUGUGACCCAUUCCUACCAUUCGUAAGCUGCUAGUAAUUAUUUGUCUCUAGAAAAAUAAGUUAAGUGGAACGGGAUGAAAUGUUUUAUUGAAAAUAAUUCAAACUAUAUCACCGUACCUUUGUUUUAGAAGAGUACGUGGACAGGGGCCUGGUUAGCUCAGCGAGGGCGUGCAGAGAGACUCCAGCCAAGUCUCCUAAGCAACCAAAUUGGCCCUGUUGCUAGGGAGGCUAGAGUCACAUGGGUAACCUCCUUGUGGUCACUAUAAUGUGUGGUUCUCACUUUCUGUGGUUGAGUUGUGCAUGGAUGCCGCGGAGAAUAGCGUGAAGCCUCCACGCGCGUUGUGUCUCCGCAGUAACGUGCUCAACAAGACAUGUGAUAAGAUGCACGGAUUGACGGUCUCGGACACUGAGGCAACUGAGAUUCGUCUUCCACCACCAAGAUUGAGGCGAGUCACUACGCCACCACGAGGAUUUAGAGCGCAUUUGAAAUUCCAAAUUGAGGAGAAAAGGGGAGGAAAAAACUAAGAAAAAAAAGAAGAGAAUGUAGACAUUUCUGUUAUAUAGACUGUGUAAAAUUACAAAUCCCUACCAUUUGAUCCAAGUAAUGAUUCGUUAAACAGUAGUUUGUCCUGUUCUAUUCUAAAAAAAUCAAAAACAUUAAGAAACAUAGAGAGAUUAUUAUUGAAGAGAUAUAAUUUGAUCGUUUGAGCUGUAAACUUUAUUAAGUCCCUAAUAAUGUGUUAAUAGAUGUCAGCACCUUAAUGUCAGUCAGACGUUGCUUCCCAGGCAAUUUUUAAAGGCAUGUCAUGUACAGCAUUGUCAGUUCUGUGGUCACGUUGUGCAUAUAUUUAUGAUUGUAGAACAAAAAAAGUAUUGAAUCGUAAACUUAAGAAGAUAAAGUGUAAAACACAUGAAAAUGUCUUUACAAUAGCGUUUUUGAUUAUUUGUAUGCCUUGGUUUGGAAUUUGGGAAUUCGCAAACCUUAAAAGAGAUAAAAGUUAUAUUGGUUGUUGAGAUGUAAUCUCUUAAUGUUACACUGAGGGGAACAAUGAUUAUUAUGCUACUACAGUAGUCUUUUAUUUCUAAGGUUAUGCUUUUAUCUAAGUUCUGCCUCUUUGGAUUAUUUGUUAAUGAGAAACAAACAUAGCUAAAUGUUGCCCUAAAAAUUGUUGUGUGUAAAAUUAUUUUCUGUGAAAUGGUGAAUGUUUGUCUAGUUUUGAGGUGUUUUCUUUUUUUUUUUCCUCUUAAAGGCAACCUUAUAAUUUGUAUUUGUCCUUUAUAAUCAGAUUUUACACCAAUAUUGAUUUGGCACAAUGUAGAGAAGUGCCAGGAAAUAUUUUUGAAUAUUUUGUUUCGAGUCCGCUGGAUUUUCUUCUUUAUUUUUUUUAAUGGAGUUAAUCAUUUAAAAGGGAAUAUGAUGUUUUUACUAAAUUACACAACUUCAAGAAUAUAGAAAUGUUGGAUUUUCCUGUUUCCUGGAUAGGUGUUUAAACAGUAGGAAAGUUUUGAGUAGUCAUACACUGAUGUUAGCUUGGGAGUGGUACUUUUUCAGCACUUCCGGGUUCAAUACAAGUUGAGCUCAAUCGACAGCAUUUGUGGCAUAAUGUUUAUUACCAUAAAAAUACAUUUAGACUAGUUCCUCCUUAAAAAGAAAAGAAAACAUUGAGGUGAGGCACUUAUAAUGGAACUAAAUGGGUGGGCACAUUUUUUUUUAACAAAGUACAAAGACAAACAACGUGUGUAAACGUGAUUUUUAGUGUCAUAAAAUCACUUACAAACCAUUUCUGUGUGAAGUUUUAUUUUACAACUUUGUUGCCAUGAUGAUUUUAUGUCAACAAACCCUAAAAUGAUUGUAAAAACUACAAUUUGGUAACAUUACAGCUCCAAUAGGUCAUGAGUUUUAAAAAAAGAAUUAAUGAAUGUACAUUUAUAUAAUUAUAAUCUUCAAAUGUAUGCCUUUAAACCCUUGACAAAAUUGGCCCUAUUAAUUCCAUUGUAAGUGUCUCACUGUAACCGUUUGAUUUUAUUUUUUUUAUUUUUUUUUUCAAAGAAAAGUAUGAGCAUGUUGAAAUACAUUUUUAUGGUACUCAAUAUUGUGGCACAAAUGCUCUCGAUUGAGCUAAACUUGUACUGAAACUGAUUGUAUUUUAUCAUCUUAAACUGAAGAUAUAUUCUCUUAAUCUUUUGUGUUCCUGUUUAAAUAUAUAUUUUUUAAUUAUAUUUGUUUUAUAAAUCACAAAAUAGUUUGGUGUGACUUGUCCUGAAUGUCCUCUCUUGGUUGAAUUGUCAAUCCACAAUCAAAAACAGUGAGUUGUAAAUUCUAUGGGUGUCAUGGUAAUGGCCAUGUAAUUUAUAGCUUCAGUGUCAUGCUAGAAUGUCCAUAUUAAUAAUCCUUCAAAUUAAUUUGAAUUAAAUUGAUUGAAUGAUUUAUAAUAAUGCGCUGUCCUUGCAAAUGGCAGAGAAUUGCACUUAAGAUUAAAGGUACUAGCACGGAAUGAAAUCUGAAAUGACUGAAAUGACAUUUUGUGUCCAAAAGUAUUUGGGCAAUCUGAAAAAACUAAAUAAAUAUUUUUCCCCUCUGAUGAUUCACUCAAAAUAUAUCACCGGUAUGAUCAGUACCGCAUAAUACGCAGUCUGCGUGCGUAAGUCUACGGAAAGUCCACCAGCUGCCCUUGCACGUUAAUCGUUAUUCAAGGACCCGAAAGCAGUUGCGGACACAGACGAUCGCUUCAUAAACCAUUAUGAUAUAAUAGGUUGUAGUUGUUUUUUUUAUGCAUAUUUGUAUUUAUCAUGCACCAUCAUCACCCAAAUUAAACUGUCUGUCUUUGUAACAUCCCUCUGUUUGUUCCAAAUUUUAAUUCAUGUUCUGAAGCAUGUUGUGUGUUUUAUACACUCAAAAAUCAGUUAUAUACUAGAAAUUUGAUUGUAUUGUAAUUUAGGUUUUGUACCGUCUCUGUAGCGACUCUUUUUGUUUGUAAUGUGAGUUUGUUAGUAAUGGUGCAAUAUUCCCCCCAAAUAUACUAUAUAUAUAUUCAGAGUCAGAGACGGACCUUGUAAGGGAGGAGAUCGCUCAGCAUAUAUACUCCAGUCCAUUCAACAGUCAGUAUAUAGUUCUAAAAUUACGGUUAUUAUUUUUUUAUGUCUUGUUUUCUCGUGAUCUCGUCAUAACAAAAAGUUGUUUUUCUCGUGAUCAUAAGAUAAAUUAUCGCGAGAAAAAAUCUUGCGAUUUGAGAAUUUGAUUUGGUGCUGCAUGCAGGUUGUCAUCCUCCUCUUCCAUCAUAAUUAAUAUAAUUGCACGCUGUACUAAUGGACUUCAUCUUCGCUUUAAGAGAGCGGGGUGUCCCAGAGGAGACAAAAUGGAGGACGAUAAGAAAGCACAUUCUGUGAAAACACAGCUGUUGAAGUGACUGAGACAGCAGUGCCAGUGCCAGAAGAUCCACCUCAGUCAGCUAACUCUCAGGAGCCAACAGACACUGAAUUGUAUUUUGAAAACCCCAGAAAUGAGACUGAAAGUGAAACAAUUGUAGUCCGCAGAGUUCACUGUGUAAACUAUAUGAUUCAUGCUUUCUCAGACAAAAACGCCACAUGCCAAUGUAACAUUUAAACAUCUACUCAAAAAUGGUGAGGAAGAAGCUGCAAUUGGAGACUGAGUGUUCCAAGACUGUCUGGGACACGUUUUUUGCAACAAGAACUCGUGGAACAAGAUACCUACUCAACAUCACACUUACCAAGAAAGAGAGUGGGAAGCUGUCGCACACAUUUUGGCCAUUGGAUGGCUGCGCUUUGGAUACUUGCCAAUCCAGCUGAUGCCCUCAACUCUCAGUUCUCUGGUUAGCUGGACUUCCUUGAAAGACAUAAGGUCCAUGGACAGUGCCGGUCGAAUCUUCACAGAAAAACUCUUGUAGCCUGUUCACAUGGACUUUUUCCAUACCCAAAUCAGAUCUGAUUAUUUGUGAACAACCACCUCUUUCAGCAUCAGCACGGACAUAAUAUCCAGCAAUUACUCUAGGAUUAUUAUUGGUCCAGAUGACGUGCCUCGAGAAAACAUCAAUGCAGCCGUUAACUGCUAUGCCAUAUGGCUUUAGUUUGUCUUAUAAAUCCAUAUGCCACAGAUAGUUAGGGCCCGGUUCUCGGUAAUGUUGCCUCCGCAACCUUCUCCCUCUCCUUUCCUCCACACCUAAUGGAUCCAGACUUAACUGCACAUCUCUCACCAUUUCUGUGGUCAGCUGCAAGCCAUUUAAUCGGCAUCUAUCAAACAUCAUUCUGUAGCCAUGCAGACGUCCCGGUCCAUCAAUAUGGCUGGCAAUGAAAUUGACCAAACGUUCAGGGUCACUGUAUUUUCUACGACAAAUUUGUAGACGUGAUAGUCUUGUCUGGCACUAAUCUGGAUGUUGUCAAUGACUGAGCGACAUACAGCUAUUUCAGCUUGAGUGAGUCCUUGAUCAAAGUAAUGGUGCAUUCGUUCGUCCAUUAUGCAACAGAGUGUUUAGCUGUUGCCUCCUAAUUUGAAAACAACUUUUUGUUAUGUCGAGAUCUCGAGAAAACAAGACAGAAAAAAAUUAUAACGCAGGGCCUCUUUGAGCUGCUGUAACCAUGACAUUUAUCUGGUCAGGUAGAUUUUUUCAUAUGGCCUCUAUAGAAUGUUGAGAUUUUGUGCCAACAAAAUUUUUUUAAAAGAAAAAUCAAAUGGGUGACCAGUCAAUAUCAAUAUUCAAAUGAAUUGCUUGUUAUAUUUUACUCAUAUUCCACUGUGUUAUGUAUACACAUUCAGUUGAGAUAUUUGAAGAUUUACAAAUUAGAUUUUAUGUCUAAGAUUUUUACAAAUUAGAUAAAUUAAAUUUUGCUGCAUUCUGCAUUUGGUGUAAUCUGGUUAAGUAUGACCUUAAUGUAACAACAAGCACAUUUUUAUUGACUUUUUAGAGAUGAUUCAAGAGAAUUUGGUUUGGA